rnacentral:snoRNA from 1 species
GCCUAUGAUGAUUACCGUUUAUUUAGAUGCUAGACUUCUGAAUUUCAUCUUAUGUAGCUACAAGGUUUUCUGAGG